rnacentral:rRNA from 1 species
GUUGUAUGGUUAAGUGACUAAGCGUACACGGUGGAUGCCUUGGCAGUCAGAGGCGAUGAAGGACGUAGUAACUUGCGAUAAGCGUAGAUGAGGCAGUAACAGCCACUUGAGUCUACGAUUUCCGAAUGGGGAAACCCACUGGCAUAAGCCAGUAUCAUUGAGUGAAUACAUAGCUCAAUGAAGCGAACCGGGAGAACUGAAACAUCUAAGUACCCCGAGGAAAAGAAAUCAACCGAGAUUCCGAAAGUAGCGGCGAGCGAAAUUGGAUUAGCCCUUAAGCUUUACAUGUGUUAGACGAACGGUCUGGAAAGUCCGACGAUACAGGGUGAUAGUCCCGUAGUUGACGAUGCAUGUUCAGUGAAAUCGAGUAGGGCGGGACACGUGUUAUCCUGUCUGAAUAUGGGGGGACCAUCCUCCAAGGCUAAAUACUCCUGACUGACCGAUAGUGAACCAGUACCGUGAGGGAAAGGCGAAAAGAACCCCUGUGAGGGGAGUGAAAUAGAACCUGAAACCGUGUACGUACAAGCAGUAGGAGCACCUUCGUGGUGUGACUGCGUACCUUUUGUAUAAUGGGUCAGCGACUUAUAUUCAGUGGCAAGGUUAACCAUCUAGGGGAGCCGUAGGGAAACCGAGUCUUAACUGGGCGCCAUAGUCUCUGGAUAUAGACCCGAAACCGAGUGAUCUAGCCAUGGGCAGGUUGAAGGUUGAGUAACAUCAACUGGAGGACCGAACCGACUAAUGUUGAAAAAUUAGCGGAUGACUUGUGGCUAGGGGUGAAAGGCCAAUCAAACUCGGAGAUAGCUGGUUCUCCCCGAAAGCUAUUUAGGUAGCGCCUCGGACGAAUACUACUGGGGGUAGAGCACUGUUAAGGCUAGGGGGUCAUCCCGACUUACCAACCCUUUGCAAACUCCGAAUACCAGUAAGUACUAUCCGGGAGACACACGGCGGGUGCUAACGUCCGUCGUGGAGAGGGAAACAACCCAGACCGCCAGCUAAGGUCCCAAAUUACAGCUAAGUGGGAAACGAUGUGGGAAGGCUUAGACAGCUAGGAUGUUGGCUUAGAAGCAGCCAUCAUUUAAAGAAAGCGUAAUAGCUCACUAGUCGAGUCGGCCUGCGCGGAAGAUGUAACGGGGCUAAGUUGUAAACCGAAGCUGCGGCAAUGUUCUAUGAACAUUGGGUAGGGGAGCGUUCUGUAAGCCGUUGAAGGUGUGUUGUAAAGCAUGCUGGAGGUAUCAGAAGUGCGAAUGCUGACAUGAGUAACGACAAGGGGGGUGAAAAACCUCCCCGCCGGAAGACCAAGGGUUCCUGUCCAACGUUAAUCGGGGCAGGGUAAGUCGACCCCUAAGGCGAGGCUGAAAAGCGUAGUCGAUGGGAAACGGGUUAAUAUUCCCGUACUUCUUACAAUUGCGAUGGGGGGACGGAGAAGGCUAGGUGGGCCUGGCGACGGUUGUCCAGGUUCAAGUGCGUAGGCUGAGUGUUUAGGUAAAUCCGGACACUCUUAAGGCUGAGACACGACGUCGAGCUACUACGGUAGUGAAGUCAUUGAUGCCAUGCUUCCAGGAAAAGCCUCUAAGCUUCAGAUUGUAAGGAAUCGUACCCCAAACCGACACAGGUGGUCGGGUAGAGAAUACCAAGGCGCUUGAGAGAACUCGGGUGAAGGAACUAGGCAAAAUGGUACCGUAACUUCGGGAGAAGGUACGCUCUUGAUGGUGAAGUCCCUUGCGGAUGGAGCUGACGAGAGUCGCAGAUACCAGGUGGCUGCAACUGUUUAUUAAAAACACAGCACUGUGCAAAAUCGUAAGAUGACGUAUACGGUGUGACGCCUGCCCGGUGCCGGAAGGUUAAUUGAUGGGGUUAGCG